AUUGAACGCUGGCGGCAUGCUUUACACAUGCAAGUCGAACGGUAACAGGCCUUCGGGUGCUGACGAGUGGCGAACGGGUGAGUAAUGCAUCGGAACGUACCCAGAGGUGGGGGAUAACGCAGCGAAAGCUGUGCUAAUACCGCAUGUGAUCUGAGGAUGAAAGCGGGGGACCGAGCAGCAAUGUUUGGCCUCGCGCCUUUGGAGCGGCCGAUGUCGGAUUAGCUAGUUGGUGGGGUAAAGGCCUACCAAGGCGACGAUCCGUAGCUGGUCUGAGAGGACGACCAGCCACACUGGGACUGAGACACGGCCCAGACUCCUACGGGAGGCAGCAGUGGGGAAUUUUGGACAAUGGGCGCAAGCCUGAUCCAGCAAUGCCGCGUGAGGGAAGAAGGCCUUCGGGUUGUAAAACGCUUUUGGCAGGAACGAAACGGUGUCCGCUAAUACCGGGCGCUAAUGACGGUACCUGCAGAAUAAGCACCGGCUAACUACGUG
rnacentral:rRNA from 1 species